UGUUUUUCUUUUGUUUUCUUUUCCAUUUUUUCUUCGGGGGGUAUGUAAGAAAGAAGAAAGGAAGUAGAGGGAGAAGAAACAGAAGAGAAAGAA
rnacentral:ribozyme from 13 species